rnacentral:rRNA from 1 species
GGCGAACGCUGGCGGCGCGCCUAACACAUGCAAGUCGAACGAGCGAGAGAGAGCUUGCUUUCUCGAGCGAGUGGCGAACGGGUGAGUAACGCGUGAGGAACCUGCCUCAAAGAGGGGGACAACAGUUGGAAACGACUGCUAAUACCGCAUAAGCGCACAGAAUCGCAUGAUUCAGUGUGAAAAGCCCUGGCAGUAUAGGAUGGUCCCGCGUCUGAUUAGCUGGUUGGCGGGGUAACGGCCCACCAAGGCGACGAUGCGUAGCCGACCUGAGAGGGUGACCGGCCACACUCGGGACUGAGACACGGCCCAG